UACGUAGGGGGCAAGCGUUGUCCGGAUUUAUUGGGCGUAAAGAGCUCGUAGGCGGCUCAGCAAGUCGGCCGUGAAAGUCCGGGGCUCAACCCCGGGAUGCCGGUCGAUACUGCUGUGGCUAGGGUCCGGUAGAGGAGAGUGGAAUUCCCGGUGUAGCGGUGAAAUGCGCAGAUAUCAGGAAGAACACCCGUGGCGAAGGCGGCUCUCUGGGACGGUACUGACGCUGAGACGCGAAAGCGUGGGGAGCAAACAGG
rnacentral:rRNA from 1 species